rnacentral:rRNA from 1 species
AUACGAGGGGUGCAAGCGUUAUUCGGAAUUACUGGGCGUAAAGCGUACGUAGGCGGUUCGUUAAGUUAGAUGUGAAAGCCCCGGGCUUAACCUGGGAACUGCAUUUAAAACUGGCGAACUAGAGUUGAGUAGAGGGGAGUGGAAUUUCAGGUGUAGCGGUGAAAUGCGUAGAGAUCUGAAGGAACACCAGUGGCGAAGGCGACUCCCUGGACUCGAACUGACGCUGAGGUACGAAAGCGUGGGUAGCAAACGGGAUUAGAAACCCUAGUAGUCC